rnacentral:tRNA from 2 species
GCCCACGUAGCUCAGUCGGUAGAGCACGUCCUUGGUAAGGACGGGGUCACCGGUUCAAAUCCGGUCGUGGGCUCCA